CUUGACGGAGCCGAGCCACAACGGCCGCUCGACGUCCCGCCCUUGACCGUACGUCGCGAGCAGCGCCUGCGCCUC
rnacentral:antisense_RNA from 1 species